rnacentral:misc_RNA from 1 species
UUUUUAUUUGAUUGUUCACUUGAAAAUGUCCAGAAAAAGUUGCCUAUCCAAUGGAAUUGUAAAAUUCUUUCUGUUAAUCCAUAUUUGUGAUGGCCUUAAACAGAAAAUAAAUGAAUCUUAGGUUCUCCAGCAACAACAAUUUUCUUGACAAAUGAUAAACAUAGGAAAUCAGCAAUAGGGAGAUGAUAUUGUGACAUAAGUUUGUUGGAACGGCAGUGGAUAUAAUGAUGUGUUUGGUUGUCAGCUCUGUAUUUG